GAUGAAGAACGUAGCAAAAUGCGAUAAGUAAUGUGAAUUGCAGAAUUCAGUGAAUCAUCGAAUCUUUGAACGCACAUUGCGCCCGCUGGUAUUCCGGCGGGCAUGCCUGUUCGAGCGUCAUUUCAACCCUCAAGCCCCCGGGUUUGGUGUUGGGGAUCGGCUCUGCCCUUCUGGGCGGUGCCGCCCCCGAAAUACAUUGGCGGUCUCGCUGCAGCCUCCAUUGCGUAGUAGCUAACACCUCGCAACUGGAACGCGGCGCGGCCAUGCCGUAAAACCCCAACUUCUGAAUGUUGACCUCGGAUCAGGUAGGAAUACCCGCUGAACUUAAGCAUAUCAAUAACGGAGGA
rnacentral:misc_RNA from 1 species